GUUCUCGUGGUGUAGUGGUUAUCAUACUGACUAUAGCGUCGUAGAGCGAUUCGAAACCAUACUCUCUUAGGGUGAUCUAACAUCUUGAGCUUUGCCUCCUCCUCUCUUCCGGAGAGGGAUUGGGAGUGGCCCCGGGUUCAAAUCCCGGCGAGGACC